rnacentral:rRNA from 1 species
AUUGAACGCUGGCGGCACGCUUUACACAUGCAAGUCGAACGGUAACAGGCCGCAAGGUGCUGACGAGUGGCGAACGGGUGAGUAAUGCAUCGGAACGUGCCCAGUCGUGGGGGAUAACGCAGCGAAAGCUCUGCUAAUACCGCAUACGAUCUAUGGAUGAAAGCGGGGGACCGUAAGGCCUCGCGCGAUUGGAGCGGCCGAUGUCAGAUUAGGUAGUUGGUGGGGUAAAGGCCUACCAAGCCGACGAUCUGUAGCUGGUCUGAGAGGACGACCAGCCACACUGGGACUGAGACACGGCCCAGACUCCGACGGGAGGCAGCAGUGGGGAAUUUUGGACAAUGGGCGCAAGCCUGAUCCAGCAAUGCCGCGUGCAGGAAGAAGGCCUUCGGGUUGUAAACUGCUUUUGUACGGAACGAAACGGCCUGGGUUAAUACCCUGGGCUAAUGACGGUACCGUAAGAAUAAGCACCGGCCAACUACGUGCCAGCCGCCGCGGUAAAAC